GUGGGGAAUCUUAGACAAUGGGGGAAACCCUGAUCUAGCCAUGCCGCGUGAUCGAUGAAGGCCUUAGGGUUGUAAAGAUCUUUCAGCUGGGAAGAUAAUGACGGUACCAGCAGAAGAAGCCCCGGCUAACUCCGUGCCAGCAGCCGCGGUAAUACGGAGGGGGCUAGCGUUGUUCGGAAUUACUGGGCGUAAAGCGCACGUAGGCGGAUUGGAAAGUUGGGGGUGAAAUCCCGGGGCUCAACCCCGGAACUGCCUUCAAAACUCCCAGUCUUGAGGUCGAGAGAGGUGAGUGGAAUUCCGAGUGUAGAGGUGAAAUUCGUAGAUAUUAGGAGGAACACCAGUGGCGAAGGCGGCUUACUGGACGAUAACUGACGCUGAGGCUCGAAAGCGUGGGGAGCAAACAGGAUUAGAUACCCUAGUAGUC
rnacentral:rRNA from 1 species